GGAAGUAAAAAUCGUAACAAGGCUUUCGUAGGUGAGCCUGCGAAAGGAUCAUUCAAACAACUAAUAAGUUGGUUAAGAACCAGUUUAAGUCUUAUUACUUUAGAGUUAUCUACUGUAGUUUGGCUUAGAUUUCCUUUGUUUUCGGACAAAGGGGCCUCACGGCAAUAUCGAGUUAUCUAUUCUAAAUAGACAUUUUUAUUCUCUUAAUUUUAUAUUAAGAAACUCAAUAACAAACACUUUCAACGGUGGAUGUCUUGGGUCUC
rnacentral:misc_RNA from 1 species